rnacentral:tRNA from 1 species
CCUCGUCGAUGGUCGACUCCGGCGCGACGACCACGAACGGCACGCGGUGGCGGGCCGCCGCGACGGCCAACGGGUAGGUUCCGAUCUUGUUGGCGACGUC